rnacentral:rRNA from 1 species
GACGAACGCUGGCGGCGUGCCUAAUACAUGCAAGUCGAGCGGACUGAUUAAGAGCUUGCUCUUAUGACGUUAGCGGCGGACGGGUGAGUAACACGUGGGCAACCUGCCCUGUAGAUCGGGAUAACACCGAGAAAUCGGUGCUAAUACCGGGUAAUAUCUGAGAUCACAUGAUCUUAGGUUAAAAGAUGGCUCCGGCUAUCACUACAGGAUGGGCCCGCGGCGCAUUAGCUAGUUGGUAAGGUAAUGGCUUACCAAGGCGACGAUGCGUAGCCGACCUGAGAGGGUGAUCGGCCACACUGGGACUGAGACACGGCCCAGACUCCUACGGGAGGCAGCAGUAGGGAAUCUUCCGCAAUGGACGAAAGUCUGACGGAGCAACGCCGCGUGAGUGAUGAAGGGUUUCGGCUCGUAAAGCUCUGUUGUUGGGGAAGAAACAGUACCGAACGAACUAGGUCGGUACCUUGACGGUACCUAACCAGAAAGCCACGGCUAACUACGUG